GAGGGUGAUCUAGGAAGCUAUUUAUUUCUCCUUCAACUUCAAAUGAUAGCCUUGCUGGGUAAUGUAGUCUUGGUUGUAGCUCCUAGCUUUUUAUCACUGAAUAUUUCAUGCUAAUUUCUUCUGGCCUGAAAUGUUUCCUUUGAGAAAUCAGCUGACAGUCUAAUGAGCUCUCCCUUGUAGGUAGCUAACUGUUCUUCUCUUGAUGCUUUUUAAGAUUCUUUCUUU